UGAAUUCAUGGUUGUCUUAACGCUUUGGUAUU
rnacentral:piRNA from 1 species